rnacentral:lncRNA from 10 species
GCACCCGGGCAGGCCCAUCUCAGAAUUAACGCUUUGAUGGCAUCACCGCGUCGGGAAUCCCUGGGGAUGGUGUUCUCCACCGUCAAGACCUUUGAGCCGCCUGAGCGACUAACUCCUGCGCCCCUGAGGUAGAGACAGGGUUUCACUAUGUUGCCCAGGCUGGCCUCGAACUCCUGACCUCGUGAUCUGCCCGCCUCGGCCUCCCAAAGUGCUGGGGUUACCGGCAUGAGCCACCGCGCCCAGCCUGGGCUGAAUCUAAAAGGAUGACCAGGAAUUGGCCUGAGACGAGCCACUUCUCUGCAGUAUGGAGGUUGGGUUACGGUUGCUGCAUGUAGAAGAUAUUCCAGAC